rnacentral:rRNA from 1 species
GACGAACGCUGGCGGCGGGCUUAACACAUGCAAGUCGAACGGCAAGGCCCUGCUUUUGUGGGGGUCUCGAGUGGCCGACGGGUGAGUAAGACGUGGGUAACCUGCCCUUGACUUUGGGGUGACUUGAGGAAGCUGGGGCUAAUACCGGAUAGGAACUCUUUCUGCAUGGUGGGGGUUGGAUAUUUUCGGUGGUUGGGGAUGGACUCGCGGCUUACCGAUUUGUUGGUUGGGUGGUGGCUUGCCAAAGCGUUGACGGGUAGCGUGCCUGAGAGGGUGACCGGGCACCUUGCGCCUGAGAUACGGCCCAGAGUCGUAAGGGAGGCAGCAGUGGGGAAUCUUGCCCAAUGGGCGGAAGCCUGAUGGAGCAACGAGGCGUGCGGGAUGACGGCCUUCGGGUUUAAAACCGCUUUCGCCUGUGACGAAGCGUGAGUGACGGUACCGGGUAAAAAAGCACCGGCUAACUACGUG